GAUGCCAGGGAAAUGCGCAUGCGCUCUGGCUCUAGACCUGGCGUUUGUAGGAGAAGCAUCUGUCCCAGAUGGAUAACGGUUAAGGAACAAUCUAAAAAUCAAUUCAAAAAGAAGAUAAAGGUAGUGAUAGGAGGUAAAAGUCUGCAGGUUUAUCUACCAGAGAUAACUUUGGUGUGAGAAAAUUUAAUGUGAGAUCAGCAUUGGAAUUUGUUGCCUCCUCCAAUUAAGAUUUGUAGACUACAAAAAAA